GAAAGAGUAUUAAAACGCGAUGCGACAUACGAAGUAAAUAAUGCAGCUCUUCCGGCGUCUGCUUCUUUGCAAGAGCAAAACAAUUCAGGGACAUCUCUCGGUAUUCCAUCGGUCGCUCCGGAUUUUGAGUAUAAUUUAUGGACGUCGCCGGAUUGUGCUGGCACGUCGUAUGAAAACUCGAACAGGACAUGGUUUUAUUUCGGCGUGAAAGGAUGUCAGGCUGGUAAACUUGUGAGGUUUCAUAUAAUAAAUAUGAAUAAGCAAGGAAAGCUUUAUAAUCAAGGCAUGACACCGCUUGUUAAAGUGUUCCCAGGUCGGAAUAAAUGGGAACGAAUCAGAGAUAGACCUUCCCAUGAGGUUUGUUGCCAG
rnacentral:lncRNA from 1 species